GUAGCCACGUUAACUUUAUCUGUAACUGUACCGAUAGUCAUAGCAAAGACUGUUUGUUCCUUUCAAACACAGAGUUACAUAGAAGCAGUACCAAGUUCAUGUUAUGUGUUGCUGAGAGAUAUGUUAAUAUAAGAGAAACUUUAAAGAAACUGGGAAGAUAUAUAUUUUGACAUUUAAGUUUUGUCAUUUACAUGGUGUUAAAAUGCAUGUGAACAUUUAUUUUGUGCUUGCCAUGGGACUUUUAUUUAUUGUUCGAAAAAAAAAAGAGAGAGACUUUUACAUGUUCGGUCUGGGUUUUUUUCCGGGGAGAAGACGAAAAGGGGCGGGGGCUAAAAGAGAGCGCGGAGGAGAAGAGCAGGGAGAGAGGAGAGAGGGAGAGAAAGGGAGAGAGAGCGAAGAUUGUGGCUGAAGAGGGACUUGUUUCAUGGAUUCCACUGGACAACUGUAAAGAGUGAGAACCAGGGAGGGCUUGUGUGAAAGAGAUUGGAACUCAUCUGUGCUUUUGGGGUGCUCGUCACUGCGUGCUGCCACCCAUAGCAACUUGAUCGGAAGGAGGAGUUGAGCAGCCAGGUGUAGAAGCAGUGUUAAAGCCCGUCGCUGGUGUUUAUUCUGGUCGGUAUUUUUCGGGGAUUAUUUUUUUUGUUUGUUUUUCUCUCCACCGGACCACCAUUUUGGGAUAUUCAAUCUUCAGACUGAACUACUCAGAGCGAGGACAUCACGGAAUACAGACGACCCACGUUGGCUCCUCAACUGGCUCAGUUACCUCCAAAAACCGUUCUGAACUUGGAGUGCGAGUGUUGUCCCACGUGACAACAGAAGCCAGUUAAGGAGCUUCUCCAGAUAGCUGCACAUCUCUCAGUACCCUGAUAAGAUUCAACAAAUUUCCUCACUAGGAGUGCCGGUAUAAGACUCAUCGAGGUAAAAAUGUCACGAAGUCUGUCAGAUCAGGAUCCAUAUUUGAAAGGAGCAAGAUCCGUCUACAAAGUUGGAUGCAGUUUAUAUACAGGUUUGCACAGGGAUUAAAGCUGCGACAAAUCGAUCUAAUUCAAGAUGGUGUUUCUAGAAGCACACGUACGCUGUCCAAAAUGAGUAAAAAAACUGCGAAUGAUCUGCAAAAGAGCAUUAAAGCGAAAAAGGAGAAGCACAGGACAACACCUGGGAGGACACAGGGAGUUUGUAGUAAUAGACGAAAGUAACUUCUGCCACAAACGCAAGGUAAGAUGCUGUGUUUAGUGCUUUUUUGUAAAAUAAAUAUUGGCAUUUUCAGCUCUUAUUUUAAGUUUACGGUCGGGCUGCACAAUAUGUCGUUUAAGCCUCGUCAUUGCGAUGUGCCCAUGCGCAAUAGUCACAUCGCGGGACAUGCAAUGUUACCCAAGUCAAUAAAAACCAACAUGUCAUGUUGCAAUGUUUUGAUUCUUGACACAAGAAAUAGAUACUCAGCAUUCUGGGGUUGGGGAGGGGGGA